UGCAACUAUUACUUUUGAAGGAAAAAAAGAGAAUGAUAUGAAAGUCCCACCACCUUUUGCAACUGUUACUGCUUUGUGCCCUUCCCUUCAGCCCAGCAGGGACAUGCCCAGGAGUGUGGGGCACUCAACAGGCAUUUUGCUGACUGAGUGAAUUGACCUGAUGGUUAAGAGCUCUGCCAGAGCUCCUGGUAGAGACCUGUUCAUAAGCUGUGGCCCCCAACCCCCUCUCUGAUCCAUCUACCAUUUUCCCUUCCUCUCGCCCUCUGUGUUCCAGGCUUACUGACUUCCUUGCUGUUCCUGGAACACACUGAGCAAACUCUAGACUCACGGCCUUUGCUCCUGCUGUUCCCUCUGCCUGGAACACUGUUCUUUCAGAUCUUUGCUGAGGUGUCAGCUCCUCGGAGAGGCCUUUCCAGACCACUCCCCCAUACCAAUGGGUCCCUUCCCUGGGAUCAGCUAACUUUUUCUUCUACUGCCUGUCGAAGUCCGACUUCACAGAAUGAUCUCUCUGGGUUAUUUUGCAUUCCUUUCAUCCACCAACCUCGGAGUGCUGCAGAGACCUGAGCAUCACGCUGGGCAUCUGAUAAGAUUUCAGCGAAGACUUUUGGAGGAAAGAAGAAGCCUCUGCUGUUGGGGGAAGAUGGAGAGCGUCUGAGGGAGAACUGGAGGAGGAAAGUGGUGCCUGUGAGGUUCCUGUGUGAAAGAAUUUGAAAGGCGAGAAAUGCCUGUCAGGCGAGCCCUUCUUCUGGGCUUGGCCUGGCAUUGGCACCUUCACCAGAUCAUAAUCUUCCCUUAACACACACUUGCUGUGCUCCAGGCACUGUGUUGAGCGCUUGAAAUGCACCCUGACCACAGUCCUCUGAAGAAGCGAUUACUAUGGCCGUUUUACAGAUGAGGUAAACUGAGGCUUGGAUUAAGUCACUUGUACAAAGUCAAACAGGUGGAACCAAGAUUCAAGCCUCGUCUGACGAGCUCAUUCUUAAUCAUAGCUCUGCUAAAUGGCCUCCGUCAUCACCAACAGCCUUGUGAGUGGAAGUUAUUGUCCUGCUUCACUGAUGAGGAAGCAAAGGCAGAUGAUGGCUGGGCCACGGCCACGGGCAGGGUCACCUGUCUUCAGCCUUCCAAAUACAUCCACCCUGCACUUGUCCUAAUAAAUGGCGCCAACACUGAAAUUCUGGAAGGUGUUUUCCCAGUCCGAUGCAUCCUGACAGAUAAAGCCCUAGAUUGUGGUUCCCCAUGUCCAUGGCUCUGCCUCCAGGGUCACCAGGGUGCCUGGCACAGAGUAGGUGCCCAGUAAGUGCUGGCCAGGAACCCAGGGUUCGGCGGGGACUGCUCAGCUGGGCAGACAUCCAUCCUCGAGCUCCUGAGAUAAGUGGAAACCCUCAGGGUUACCAUCAAUGGAUUUUAAAAGAAUGUAUUUACCAAUUACUUGAAGAGGUAUUUAAGAGAAAGAUAAACAAGUUCAGGCAUGUUGACGACACCAUGCUGAUGGGACGUCAGUGCGGUUUCUAUGAAACGACUGCCAUUAAACACUGAUUUCCAGGGUUAGCAUCUGUCAGAGGAACCUAACUGAAACUAUUUUUAAAAAACAUUUCCUGUUUUUGGUAAUACGAUUAUGGGCAUUUCUAUAACAUUGGUGCUACAGUAAUUUUUUUUUUUUAGAAAGACAGUCCUUAAAGCAAGUGAUAUUUUGGGCUUCCUGUAUCUAUCUUAUAAAAAAUUAAAAUGAUACUUAGCAUUUCUAAUGGUAAAUUCUGAGGAUUUCAAUAUGGCAGACCUGGGAGACAGAGCUGGGUCAUCAGGGGCAAGGUGACUGAAUGUGUCCCAUCAGCCCCUAAGGAGUGUCAUAAAAAUUUACUUCAUGCUGCUUCUAAGCAGCACCAACACUCCCUUCAAAGGAAAUAACUGGUAUUCCAUUUCCAGAGGAAGGGAGGAGUUGGGGGAGCAAGAGCCCAUUUGAGAGCCACGAUCAUUGGAGCACAUUUUGCAAAGCCUUUCAUGCCUUCUAACUGCACCCCUUCCUGCUGAAUCUUCCAGCCCACACAUAGUUGGGGACAUCUGCCAUUUGCCUGGGCAUGCUUAGCCACACAGGUGUCCUCUCUGGCACGCCCUCAUGUUGAGAUGGCCUCUUGAUCUAGCCGUUCUCUCUUUUUCUACUAACGUCCCCCCAUUUUCGGAUUUGAGAGAGUUGUGGCUCUAAGCAUGGCCUUUAUAGCCAGGCAGACCAGGCUUGGAUGCACACCUUUACUUGCUCCGUCUUGGUUUUCUGGUCUGGGAAAUG